rnacentral:tRNA from 1 species
UUAAGGGUGCCAGAAUUUAUGGGGUUGAUUUAGGAUCAGUUUAAGGGUUUAUUACACCCCUCUUGUG